rnacentral:lncRNA from 1 species
GACUGGAAAGCCUUUCCUUGAAGCUGGCAAACCUUGCCGUGCCUCACCUGUCUCUUCCAGUCCCCUGACUGGCCAGCUCCAUCUGAAACCAGAGUGACCAGAGGAGGGACAAGGUACCAUUUGGCUUCUGCGGUCAGAGGGAGGGAGAGGUACAGAGGGUGAAUCUGGGUGGUUUGACGUUUGGGGAGAAGAAUGGAAAGGGAGAGGGAACUAGAGGUGGAAUAGCCAGGCUGGCUGUAUGAGAACCAAGGUGCGCUGAUGGUAUUUCUUUGGAAUAAGUGUCUUGUGGCUUUUGACUUCUGGCUUUUUAUGACAUGAAAACUUCAGUUUUGCCAAAGAGAACAGUAAGAUGAGAUUCUCUGAGAAGGAACAGCCAGGACCAAGAGAGUAUAAAAAGAAUGAGGGCACAUUACUUACCUGGGGGUCUGUAAUGAGUACCUUGGGUUCAGCGCGCUCAGUCUCAGAAUUAGGUUUUCAGAUUACAGUUACUGCACAAGGCCAUGGACACUCUAAAUGAGGUAAUAUUUGUAUUAUAUCAUAUUUCAAAACUGCAUGUUGUCCUUUGUUGGGCCAACCCAUUUUUCUCUCAGUUCCUUAAUCUCUCUCUCUCUCUCUCCUUCCCCAUACUCCCUCUCCCUUCACCUCCAUCCGUCCUUCACUCCUCCUCUCUCUCAUUUGUAUUACUUCCUUCUGUAAAGAUUCUUCUCUCCAUGUGAGCUUCUUCUGUAUAUAAGACCAUGUCUUUCCCCCACUUUUUAGUAAGAGCCAUCAGUGGAUGUAGGAAAAAAGCCAGGGGCUGCCGGCACGCUUCAGUAGACCUGGAUGGACACUGGACUUUGCUAACUGCCUGCUUUAUCAUCUUGCCGCCAUCAGUAUCUCCACUCACAGCCAUGAGACUGAUCCUUUUACUGAGACAACACGAAGUAUUUGUGCCAUUGCAAAUUAUAACCAAGCCCCCCACCCCCAGAAAAAAAAUCAGGGUUUGCACAACCAACUCUAGUUUCAAGUUAUAGAAACUAAGUACAUAUAAAACUAAGUACAUAUGUCUUUAGGACUGUUGCUCUUGCGCUCCAUGGGAAGGAUUUAUUCUGGGCCUUUUUCUGGGGUUGGUAGAUGGCUGUCUUUAUAUUAUAACGUCCCUCCCCACUUAUGUUUGUCUGCCUUUCCCUUUCAUUUAUUUUGUAAGUAGAUCAGUCAUAUUAGGCUAACACCAAUCCUACUUAUCUCAUCUUUUGAAAGAUUCUGUCUUUAAAUAAUGUCAAAUUUGGGGAUAGGAGGUGCUACUAUAUCUAAUAUGAAUGGAGGUGGGGGAAUCACAAUUCAACCCAUGACAACAGGUUAGUCUUUUAUAUAUGUGCUCAGCUACAUUCUAUUAAAAGUGUGUUAGAGAAAGUCAGGACCUCUUGCGGGCUGCUCAGCUGUCUCCUACAGAAUCAUCCUUCCACCUUCCGCACCUCUCCCUGUGGUCUCAACAACAACGUGACAUGCUCUGAAGUUGCACGGUCUGUGAGUCUACGCUUCUGUUUUGUUAAGCUGUGAGAUCUCACCUGUGCUGCGGCUACUGUAACCAAUGGACACACACACACAUACAAAACAACCACACAAUACAAAAUAACACACC